AUUGAACGCUGGCGGCAUGCCUUACACAUGCAAGUCGAACGGUAACGGGCCUUCGGGUGCCGACGAGUGGCGAACGGGUGAGUAAUGCAUCGGAACGUACCUUUCAGUGGGGGAUAACGUAGCGAAAGUUACGCUAAUACCGCAUAUUCUGUGAGCAGGAAAGCAGGGGAUCGCAAGACCUUGCGCUGAUUGAGCGGCCGAUGUCAGAUUAGCUAGUUGGUGAGGUAAAGGCUCACCAAGGCGACGAUCUGUAGCGGGUCUGAGAGGAUGAUCCGCCACACUGGAACUGAGACACGGCCCAGACUCCUACGGGAGGCAGCAGUGGGGAAUUUUGGACAAUGGGCGAAAGCCUGAUCCAGCCAUGCCGCGUGCGGGAAGAAGGCCUUCGGUGUAACGCUUAGUCCGG
rnacentral:rRNA from 1 species